rnacentral:lncRNA from 1 species
CCUAAUCGAACAUGUGGGUUUACCAUAACCCUGUUCUUAGUACUUACUCCAAUUAUUCGUUAAUUAAGCCCCAAAAACUCGGUGGCUUAACAAACACUAUAACUAUUCUAUUCGCUAUCUUUGUUUACAUUAAUAUAUUGUAGAUAAUUAAGUUUUAGCAUCAUUAAGUUCCAAUUUUUAUAUCUAUCUAUAAUAACACACGAGAGAUUGUAUUUUAUACUUUAUUUUUUGUUGAUAGUGUUUUCUAUUAUGUUUGGGAUAAUUUCUCAAUCCGUCGUCCAAAAACAUGGGGAUUUACCAUUAC